rnacentral:rRNA from 1 species
UACGGGGGGGGCAAGCGUUGUUCGGAAUUACUGGGCGUAAAGGGCUCGUAGGCGGCCAACUAAGUCGGACGUGAAAUCCCCAGGCUCAACCUGGGAACUGCGUCCGAUACUGGAUGGCUUGAAUUCGGGAGAGGGAUGCAGAAUUCCAGGUGUAGCGGUGAAAUGCGUAGAUAUCUGGGGGAAUACCGGUGGCGAAGGCGGCAUCCUGGACCGACAUUGACGCUGAUGAGCGAAAGCCAGGGGAGCAAACGGG